ACGAAGGGGGCUAGCGUUGUUCGGAAUUACUGGGCGUAAAGCGCUCGCAGGCGGAUCGAUAAGUCAGGGGUGAAAUCCCGGGGCUCAACCUCGGAAUUGCCUUUGAUACUGUCAAUCUCGAGUCCGGGAGAGGUGAGUGGAAUUCCUAGUGUAGAGGUGAAAUUCGUAGAUAUUAGGAAGAACACCAGUGGCGAAGGCGGCUCACUGGCCCGGAACUGACGCUCAUGAGCGAAAGCGUGGGGAGCAAACAGGA
rnacentral:rRNA from 1 species